rnacentral:rRNA from 1 species
CCUACGGGCGGCAGCAGUGAGGAAUAUUGGUCAAUGGGCGGGAGCCUGAACCAGCCAAGCCGCGUGAAGGAAGAAGGAGCCAGGCGUCGUAAACUUCUUUUGUCGGGGAACAAAGGGCGCCACGCGUGGCGUUGUGAGUGUACCCGAAGAAAAAGCAUCGGCUAACUCCGUGCAAGCAGCCGCGGUACAACGGAGGAUGCGAGCGUUAUCCGGAUUUAGUGGGUUUAAAGGGUGCGUAGGCGGACCGGAAAGUCAGCGGGAAAAGCCCGGGGCUCAACCCCGGCGAGCCGUUGAAACUGUUGGACUAGAGACGGCGAGAGGUACGCGGAAUGCGCGGUGUAGCGGUGAAAUGCAUAGAUAUCGCGCAGAACUCCGAUGGCGAAGGCAGCGUACCGGCGCCGGACUGACGCUGAGGCACGAAAGCGUGGGUAUCGAACAGGAUUAGAUACCCCUGUAGUC